rnacentral:rRNA from 1 species
AGGACGAACGCUGGCGGCGUGCUUCAUACAUGCAAGUCGAACGAGAAGCUGACUUCGGUCAGUGGAAAGUGGCGGACGGGUGAGUAAUAUGUAGAGAAUCUGCCCUUGAGUGGGGGACAACAGAGGGAAACUUCUGCUAAUACCCCAUAUGAGCUAACUUGAAAUAGUUAUCUUGAAAACUCCAGUGCUCAAGGAUGAGUCUGCAUCUGAUUAGCUAGUUGGCGGUGUAAUGGACCACCAAGGCGACGAUCAGUAGCUGGUUUGAGAGGAUGAUCAGCCACAAUGGGACUGAGACACGGCCCAUACUCCUACGGGAGGCAGCAGUAGGGAAUUUUGCGCAAUGGGCGAAAGCCCUGACGCAGCAACGCCGCGUGAACGAUUAAGCCCUUCGGGGUGUAAAGUUCUGUCAGUAGGGACGAAUUUUGACGGUACCUACAGAGGAAGCACCGGCUAACUCCGUGCCAGCCGCGGC